rnacentral:rRNA from 1 species
UACGAAGGGGGGCUAGCGUUGCUCGGAAUCACUGGGCGUAAAGGGUGCGUAGGCGGGUCUUUUAAGUCAGGGGUGAAAUCCUGGAGCUCAACUCCAGAACUGCCUUUGAUACUGAGGAUCUUGAGUUCGGGAGAGGUGAGUGGAACUGCGAGUGUAGAGGUGAAAUUCGUAGAUAUUCGCAAGAACACCAGUGGCGAAAGGCGGCUCACUGGCCCGAUACUGACGCUGAGGGCACGAAAAGCGUGGGGGAGCAAACAGG